CCUACGGGCGGCUGCAGUGAGGAAUAUUGGUCAAUGGGCGCUAGCCUGAACCAGCCAAGUAGCGUGAAGGAUGACUGCCCUAUGGGUUGUAAACUUCUUUUAUAUGGGAAUAAAAUGAAGUACGUAUACUGCUUUGAGUGUACCUGAAGAAUAAGGAUCGGCUAACUCCGUGCCAGCAGCCGCGGUAAUACGGAGGAUGCGAGCGUUAUCCGGAUUUAUUGGGUUUAAAGGGAGCGUAGGCGGGUUGUUAAGUCAGUGGUGAAAGGUUGGGGCUCAACCGUCGGAUUGCAGUUGAUACUGGCAGCCUUGAGUAGUGGAGAGGUAGGCGGAAUGCGCGGUGUAGCGGUGAAAUGCUUAGAUAGCGCGAAGAACUCCGAUUGCGAAGGCAGCCUGCCGGACUGGAACUGACGCUGAGGCACGAAAGUGUGGGUAUCGAACAGGAUUAGAUACCCUAGUAGUC
rnacentral:rRNA from 1 species